rnacentral:rRNA from 1 species
UACGAAGGGGGCUAGCGUUGCUCGGAAUCACUGGGCGUAAAGGGUGCGUAGGCGGGUUUUUAAGUCAGGGGUGAAAUCCUGGAGCUCAACUCCAGAACUGCCUUUGAUACUGAAGAUCUUGAGUCCGGGAGAGGUGAGUGGAACUGCGAGUGUAGAGGUGAAAUUCGUAGAUAUUCGGAAGAACACCAGUGGCGAAGGCGGCUCACUGGCCCGGUACUGACGCUGAGGCACGAAAGCGUGGGGAGCAAACAGG